AUUGAACGCUGUCGGCAGGCCUACCACAUGCAAGUCGAGCGAGCGGCGGACGGGGGAAUAAUUGCUGGGAAUUCCCACGUCGGGGGGGAUAACAGUUCGAGACGACUUCUAAUACCUCAUACGGUUCGAUUCACCAGGUGGGAUUAGCUAGUUGGUGAGGGAAUGGCUCACCAAGGCGACGAUCCCUAGCUGGUCGGAGAGGAUGAUCAGCCACACUGGAACUGAGACACGGUCCAGACUCCUACGGGAGGCAGCAGUGGGGAAUAUUGCACAAUGGGGGAAACCCUGAUGCAGCCAUGCCGCGUGUGUGAAGAAGGCCUUCGGGUUGUAAAGUACUUUCAGCGAGGAGGCGUUACUCGCAGAAGAAGCACCGGCUAACUCCGUGCCAGCAGCCGCGGUAAUUC
rnacentral:rRNA from 1 species